rnacentral:rRNA from 1 species
GCGGGAAGAGCUCAAAUUUAUAAUCUGGCGCUUUCAGCGUCCGAGUUGUAAUCUCUAGAAGUGUUUUCCGCGUUGGACCGCACAUAAGUCUGUUGGAAUACAGCGGCACAGUGGUGAGACCCCCGUUCACGGUGCGGAUGCCCAAUGCUUUGUGAUACACUUUCGAAGAGUCGAGUUGUUUGGGAAUGCAGCUCAAAUUGGGUGGUAAAUUCCAUCUAAAGCUAAAUAUUGGCGAGAGACCGAUAGCGAACAAGUACCGUGAGGGAAAGAUGAAAAGCACUUUGGAAAGAGAGUUAACAGUACGUGAAAUUGUUGGAAGGGAAACGCUUGAAGUCAGACUUGCUAUUCGGGGCUUGCUCCGAGUUGCAGGCCAGCAUCAGUUUUUCGGGGCGGAAAAUCACGGAUUGAAGGUAGCAGUUUCGGCUGUGUUAUAGCUUUCCGUUGGAUACGUCCUGGGGGACUGAGGAACGCAGUGUGCUUUUAGCGAGGGCUUCGGCUCUUUCACACUUAGGAUGCUGGUGGAAUGGCUUUAAACGACCCGUCUUGA